GCUUACAAGAGCCAGAAGUUUGUUCCACUGGAGCCAGUGUCCGAGUUUUUAAAAUACACGACAAUCCAGCUGACCAGCGUGUAAGAAGUCCUUCUCCCCCGAGGUCACCACAACGAGGAAACCUACCCGUCUCUAUGGAAAUGCCCAAGUAGAGGUCCAAGGCCCCAAACACAGCACCCCUGAAGUUCUGGCCAGCAGCUAGCACCAACUGCCAGCCGGCAGAGACAGGGUAUUCAGGACAUUCUCAACACCCAGAAUCACCCGGCCCAUCCACAGAAUGGUGAGAAAGAAUAAAUUAUUGUUUUACGCC
rnacentral:lncRNA from 1 species